rnacentral:rRNA from 1 species
AUUGAACGCUGGCGGCAGGCCUAACACAUGCAAGUCGAACGGUAACAGGAAGAAGCUUGCUUCUUUGCUGACGAGUGGCGGACGGGUGAGUAAUGUCUGGGAAACUGCCUGAUGGAGGGGGAUAACUACUGGAAACGGUAGCUAAUACCGCAUAACGUCGCAAGACCAAAGAGGGGGACCUUCGGGCCUCUUGCCAUCGGAUGUGCCCAGAUGGGAUUAGCCAGUAGGUGGGGGAACGGCUCACCAAGGCGACGAUCCCUAGCUGGUCUGAGAGGGUGACCGCUCACACUGGAUCGGAGACACGGUACAGCGUCCUACGGGAGGCAGUCGGAGGUAGUGGGCCGGAAUUGGCGAGAGUGUGACGGAGUAAAGCGGGGUGAGUGAUGAAGGUCUCUGGAUGCUAAAGAUCUGUGAUUAGUGAAGAACAAAUCUGUACGUAACCAGGCAGGUCGUGACGGGACUAAGGCAGAAAGCCACGGCCAACUAGGUG